rnacentral:rRNA from 1 species
AUGCCAGGCCUGAGAGGUGGGGUAGCGCCGCUCCACGCUUUGCAGAGCACGCGCAGGCGCAGCUCCUUGUGGAUCCAGCCGCCGGCCAUGACGGCGCGGUGGAAAUGCUCAGCACGAGGGCCUCCGUUGCCAGUGCCGGUGAGGAGCUCGAGCUCGAGCUCCGCCUCUAGGAUUUCUGGGGCACCAGCACCAUGCGUCUACUUGCACAGGUUUCAAUCGAUGGAUGUUCCGAUAUAUAUUGCGCAUAUCAGCGGUAUUGGCGGCGAGCCUGCAGUCCGUCGUUGCAUCGUUUACCGGGAGGGAGAGCUCUCCAUGCCUCGCCGUUAUUUUGUUGUUAUUUUGCAUAUCCAGAAUCCGGACGACUAUCGGGCAUCAGUAGCGGUAAUUACUGACGAUUGUCUAAGGUUGAUGAGUUCUUUCGGCAAGGCGAUGAUAGAUCAUUGUGUGCCUGAUGUAAACGAGUGUGCUCGUACUAUUGCACGUUUUAGCUUUUUGGAUCAGGAAUCAAGGGUGUGGCACGAUAAACCCUCUGAUCUCCCGAUUCCGCUUAUUGUAAAGGAUAUGGUUAUUAAUUAA